GACGAACGCUGGCGGCGUGCCUAACACAUGCAAGUCGAGCGAAGUGACUUGGAGUAAAGUCUUCGGAUAGAGCGAAGAGUCAUCUUAGCGGCGGACGGGUGAGUAACGCGUGAGAAACCUGCCUUUCACAAAGGGAUAGCCUCGGGAAACUGGGAUUAAUACCUUAUGACACUUCAUUGUCGCAUGACUAAGAAGUUAAAGCGUAAAGCGGUGAAAGAUGGUCUCGCGUCCUAUUAGCUAGUUGGUGAGGUAACGGCUCACCAAGGCUUCGAUAGGUAGCCGGCCUGAGAGGGUGAACGGCCACACUGGAACUGAGACACGGUCCAGACUCCUACGGGAGGCAG
rnacentral:rRNA from 1 species